UUCUCCUUCCAUCAAGUUUGAAAUGCAGUUUUACUAAAAAUCAGUCAUCUGUUUUCAAAUUGGCUUCAGGUCGUUUUUCCAGUUCGUCUGAUUUUGUUUUGAGAUCUGCGCUGGUCUGGUGAUUUUUUCGGGCCCACUUUGUCUCAGUGGGUAUCUGCGGAUCCGUUUUGGUCAUUUUCGCGCCCGAUUCGCUCUGUUUUUCCGAGGCCCUGUGGAGGCUCUGGUCACUUCUCCAAAUCUGACAACGUGGUCCGGCCGACGGCCGGCCUACGGCGGGGGCCUCCCUUUCUUCUCUCCAUUUUCUGGCCCUCCCCUAGCAUGCGUGUCCCUUCCAUGGCGUCUUCUCUCUCUCCCUCCCCUCCCAUGGUGCCCCUCUCUCCCUUCCCAUGGCACGCCUCCCUCUCCCUCUUUCCCUCACAUGUCGCCCCUCUCCCUCCCUUCUUCCUAUGGCGCCUCAUUCCUCUGUCUUGUGGUGUCUGUCCCUCUCUCUUUUUGAACACUAGAACACAAGUAGGUUGAUUGGAGUUCUGUUUUGCAAGUCUGCGGCACUCAAUUAAAAAGAAGGUGACACCAAUGCUAUGUGAGCAGCAGGGGUUGUGGUUUCUAUGAGGCAGAGGUCGUCUAGGGGAUGCUAUGAACCCAACUAAGGUCCUGAUGAUGGUUUCUAAAACAGUGAGAGUUGCGGGGAGAGCAGUGCUCAUGUUUUAGCCUUGUUUAGUUGUAUUGCACUCCAGAUCUGAUCUUGUUUAGUCUUUAGUAAAAAAAAAUUCACCCAACUGCUUCAAGUUCAUUCAAUCUUAGCAGUAAUACAAAAAAUCAUUAGUUAUCAGUGUUUUUGUUAAUCCAAUCUUAUCUAUCAUUUUUUUUGUCAGCCUUCUUUCUCCCUGUUUUUAGUUCUCAGUUGUCUCUUUUUUUUAGAUCAUUGGUUAUCAUUCAUAUGUCAGUGUGUUUGUAUUUAGUUUAUCAUUCAGCUUUGUAUUUAUUUUUUGUCUGUCAUCUUCUUCUAGUUGCUCAGUCCAUAUUGUCUUUCUUAUCGGUUUUGUCAUUAGUAAUUAGUUACUAGUCUUGUUUUGUCCUCUAUGUUAGUUAGUUCAUCAGUGUAUUUAGUUUUUAGUUAUAAUUUAUAAUUAUUUUGCCUUACUAUUUAUCAUUUUCCAGUUUCCA